AGAGUUUGAUCCUGGCUCAGGAUGAACGCUAGCGACAGGCCUAACACAUGCAAGUCGAGGGGCAACAUGGUAUCAGCUUGCUGAUACCGAUGGCGACCGGCGCACGGGUGAGUAACGCGUAUGUAAUCUACCUGUAACAGAGGGAUAACCCGGAGAAAUCCGGACUAAUACCUCAUAGCACAUAUUAUUCGCAUGAAUUUUAUGUUAAAGAGACUCGGUUACAGAUGAACAUGCGUUCCAUUAGCUGGUUGGCGGGGUCACGGCCCACCAAGGCAACGAUGGAUAGGGGUUCUGAGAGGAAGGUCCCCCACACUGGUACUGAGACACGGACCAGACUCCUACGGGAGGCAGCAGUGAGGAAUAUUGGUCAAUGGGCGGAAGCCUGAACCAGCCAAGUCGCGUGGAGGAAGACGGCCCUACGGGUUGUAAACUCCUUUUACCUGGGAAUAACGGGCGCUACGCGUAGCGCUGUGCAAGUACCGGGAGAAUAAGCAUCGGCUAAUUCCGUGCCAGCAGCCGCGGUAAUACGGAAGAUGCGAGCGUUAUCCGGAUUUAUUGGGUUUAAAGGGUGCGUAGGCGGAAGAAUAAGUCAGCGGUGAAAUGCUUCAGCUCAACUGGAGAAUUGCCGAUGAAACUGUUUUUCUAGAGUAUAAAAGAGGUAUGCGGAAUGCGUGGUGUAGCGGUGAAAUGCAUAGAUAUCACGCAGAACCCCGAUUGCGAAGGCAGCCUGCCAAGCCAUUACUGACGCUGAUGCACGAAAGCGUGGGGAUCAAACAGGAUUAGAUACCCUGGUAGUCCACGCAGUAAACGAUGAUCACUAGCUGUUUGCGAUACACUGUAAGCGGCACAGCGAAAGCGUUAAGUGAUCCACCUGGGGAGUACGCCGGCAACGGUGAAACUCAAAGGAAUUGACGGGGGCCC
rnacentral:rRNA from 1 species